CAAGGCUUGACAUAUAGAGGAAAAGUGCAGAGAUGCACUCCCCGCAAGGUCUCUAUACAGGUGGUGCAUGGUUGUCGUCAGCUCGUGUCGUGAGAUGUUGGGUUAAGUCCCGCAACGAGCGCAACCCUCGUCCUAUGUUGCCAGCACGUAAUGGUGGGAACUCAUGGGAUACUGCCGGGGUCAACUCGGAGGAAGGUGGGGAUGACGUCAAAUCAUCAUGCCCCUUAUGUCUUGGGCUUCACGCAUGCUACAAUGGCCGGUACAGAGGGCUGCAAUACCGCAAGGUGGAGCGAAUCCCAAAAAGCCGGUCUCAGUUCGGAUUGAGGUCUGCAACUCGACCUCAUGAAGUCGGAGUCGCUAGUAAUCGUAGAUCAGCAACGCUACGGUGAAUACGUUCCC
rnacentral:rRNA from 1 species